GAUGAACGCUGGCGGCGUGCCUAAUACAUGCCAGUCGAGUGAACGGACGAGAAGCUUGCUUCUCUAAUGUUAGCGGCGGACGGGUGAGUAACACGUGGAUAACCUACCUAUAAGACUGGGAUAACUUCGGGAAACCGGAGCUAAUACCGGAUAAUAUUUUGAACCGCAUGGUUCAAAAGUGAAAGACGGUCUUGCUGUCACUUAUAGAUGGAUCCGCGCUGCAUUAGCUAGUUGGUAAGGUAACGGCUUACCAAGGCAACGAUGCAUAGCCGACCUGAGAGGGUGAUCGGCCACACUGGAACUGAGACACGGUCCAGACUCCUACGGGAGGCAGCAGUAGGGAAUCUUCCGCAAUGGGCGAAAGCCUGACGGAGCAACGCCGCGUGAGUGAUGAAGGUCUUCGGAUCGUAAAACUCUGUUAUUAGGGAAGAACAUAUGUGUAAGUAACUGUGCACAUCUUGACGGUACCUAAUCAGAAAGCCACGGCUAACUACGUG
rnacentral:rRNA from 1 species